rnacentral:rRNA from 1 species
GAAAAAGUACUGUGAAGGAAAGGCUGAAAAGUGCAAUAAAAAGCGAUGAAAGAAUGAAAAUUAAAUACAAAAAAGCAAUUGGAGUUGUGAGAAAUCGUAAUGACAAUGUACCUUUUGCAUAAUGGGCCAGUGAGUUUUAAUAUGUAGCAAGCUUAAAGUAAUUGUAGGCGUAGCGAAAGCGAGUUUUAAUAGAGCGAAAUUAGUUAUAUGUUAAAGACCCGAAACCAAGUGAGCUAACCAUGAGCAAGCUGAAGAUUAAUGAAAAUUAAUUGGAGGGCUGAACCCGUGAAUGUAGCAAAAUUCUGGGAUGACUUGUGGUUAGGAGUGAAAGGCUAAUCAAACUUGGAGAUAGCUGGUUUUCUGCGAAAUCUAUUUAAGUAGGGUGUUCUUAAUAUUUAUUUGGGGUAGAGUUACCUAAUAAGUGAAGGGGAU